UACGUAGGGUGCAAGCGUUGUCCGGAAUUAUUGGGCGUAAAGAGCUCGUAGGCGGUCUGUCACGUCGGCUGUGAAAACCCGGGGCUCAACCCCGGGCCUGCAGUCGAUACGGGCAGACUAGAGUGCGGUAGGGGAGACUGGAAUUCCUGGUGUAGCGGUGAAAUGCGCAGAUAUCGGGAAGAACACCCGUGGCUAAGGCGGCUCUCUAGUACGGUACUGACGCUGAGACGCGAAAGCGUGGGGAGCGAACAGG
rnacentral:rRNA from 1 species